AUCAAAAACAUAGCUUAGUGUGCUUUAUACUAAGUUAAUUCUGCUCGGUGAUUAGUUUUAAACAGCCGCAGUACACUGACUGUGCUAAGGUAGCAUAAUAAGUUGGCUUAUAAUUGAAGUCUAGUAUGAACGAAACUUAAUGGGUGGUAACUGUCUCUUUUAAUUUUAUUUGAAUUUACUUAGAUGGUGAAAAUUCCAUCUCUUACAUAAGAAAGACGAGAAGACCCUUAGAAUUUUUACUAAAGUGUUUUUUUUCAUUUUGUAUUAGCUGGGGCGGCUUUGUGUCAACUAACACACAAUUUAACUUAUCUAACAAAAAAAUUCUACUUUACAAGAUUAAUUACCUAAGGGAUAACAGCAUAAUCUUUUUAUUGGCUUGUGACCUCGAUGUUGGAUUAGGACCUGUUUUGGUUAGCCGCCAAAACAGAAAGUUCUGUUCGAACUGCAUUACCUACAUGAUCUGAGU
rnacentral:rRNA from 1 species